GUGUGUGUGUAUGGCUGAUAGGGUGUGUGUGUUUUGUUUCAUCCCAGAGGCAACUAGGAGCCACUGGCAUUUAUUGGGAAAGGAAAUGAUGUGGUCAGAUCUGCACUGAUGGGCAAUCACUUUGGCAGCUCUGUGGAGGACAGACUGGCAUGCUGGGCGGCCAGGAGCCUAUGCCCGGAUCUAGAUGCAUCCACUUACUCUAUUUUAAAGAUGAAAUAAGAACAGGGCCUUGACUCCAAUCUUUAGGGACAAAGUUCCUUCAUGUGCUGCUGCCUUUCCAGAAUAGAAUCAAUAAGCUAUGAAAUGUUGAGAGCCUCUGGGAUAGGCCAGGCUGUAAUUCCAACGAUUCUUGACUCAGAUAAUAAAAAAGGUGAGCGCUUAGAAUUUUUGAGAGGAAUAUAUUGAGUCCAGUGACCUUAUCAUGACAAACUGAGGAGAAUAAAUGGGGAGGGGCAGAGGAUCUGGAUAAUAUGCCCCCCUUCUACUGAUUUAAGGGCUGCUCCCUCCCUUUUUUUUUUUUUUUUGGUGUCCGGCUCCUUCACACCUGUCCCAGAGCUACCUGCAGGCAACCUCCAGCUUCAUCUUAGCCUAGGAAUCCUUGUCAUGAUGGAGACUGGUCCGAUUAAGGGAGGGCAACAAAGGGUCUUUCUCCUACCUCAGAACCAGGCAUGUUGGAGAAGAUGAAAAAGGUUCGGUGACCCUAGGGUGACUGAGAAGCCCACAUCUGGGUUCCUGUGACUCACAAGGUGAACAUCUUGCAAAAAAAAUAUCCCAAAGCAGAGUCUAAGAACCAGUUGACUAAGAGGGCCAUGGAGCAUCCACGUAGGAAUCAAGUUGAGAUUGAAGAGCGUAAGGAUUGUGCUUAAGUCAUUGUCCGAGUGAUUAAAACUGCGGUUGAUGCCAGCAGCGUGGCUUGUGGAUGGAAAAAAAGACAAAAGAGCCAAUGAAAAUACCUUCAUAGUUGCCAUAGUAAAGAAGCCCCAAGAGACAUCUUUGUUGGCAGAUCCAGAAGCCAAGGAUGACAUGGGAGAGAACACAGACCUGUUAUAAAAUCUGCUGAAGAAGGCCUGUGAUGAACUGCCAUUGGUUCAGAUUUAGGAAGUGGUUAUAAUCAUUGCCUUUCCAAUUAUAUGAUAUUAAUGACAAAGUAAUUCUGAGAAACAUAAGGAAGUCUUCUGUGAGUAGCUCCGGCCCCUGCCUCUCCACAGCUAAAGACCUCACCCCACACUUCACUGAGAAGAAUUUGUACUUCUUUUUCCCCCUUUUUAUAAUCUGUCAUCAUCUCUCACCCUGGUGACACUGUCCUUCUUUCUCUUUUCCUUGAUCGCAAUUUCUGGCGAAGAGGUCACCCUCUUGACCAAGGCCAACCCCCCCGCCACAUACCGUAGAUCCUCUGCAGUUUCUUCUAGCAGACUGUCCUCACGAUCGUCCCCUUUCCCCCUUAUCUCUAGUUUUUCCUUAUCUAUUGGCGA